AAAAGGACACGUGGCUCGGUGGCUUGAUGUACCACCUUGGCGAAGAGGUCGCCUUAGAGAAUGCACGUGGGUCCGAGGUUUGAGGCACGUGGCUCGGAGACUUGGAAGGUCGUCCUGGAGAAUGCACGUGGCCUAGCUUUUAAAUAUCCCACAGUGGGGAUUGAAUUGUAUGACAUGUAAUCGACUAGUUCGAUUUGUUUGAAGCGAAUGGCCGUUUAUUAUGAAUUGUACUGACUUGCAGGUGGGAUCAGAGGCCAAGGUAAGUCCUCUGCCCUGUGCGUGUUUAGGCAGCUUUUAGUAUAAUAGUUUACUAAUCGGGCUUAGUGGGGUAGAACUCGCUGAGACGUAGUCUCAUCCCAGUUUGGGGAAAACCAUUUCAGACCCCGCUGAAGAGCUAAGGAGGAGGAAUCCGAGAAGGAGAACUCGGAUGUGAGAUUUGAAGAAAAUGAUUUUUGGAAGAAGAAGACAAUUCUGAGAGGGGCGUUGAGUACGGCAUAGUUCAUCUAAGUUUCUGUCUUCUUUUGAGAUCUCCGUUUUGAUGUGAAUAGUUAUGAAAGGGUUUGUGGUUUGUAUAAAAGUUUGGUUAUAAAUUUCAAUAUGAAAAAUAUGGCCCUGCUUUUCUAUCCCAUCGUUUUAUUGUCUGGGGAUUUUAACUGCUUCCGCAUGUGCUUAAUAAAAGAAAGGGUCGGCGAUACAUUGUCCUGGGAUAUCGCAUAUUAAAAUCGACCAAGGUAGAAGGAUGUGUGCGUGCCCGAGGAUCGGGGCGUGACAUCCAAUUUAAGUGGUAUCAGAGCGAAGUUCAAGAUUGGAGUGAUAAGGAGCGUUGACCAUGGGAUAGUUAGUAGGAAAGGCCUUUAAAUUCAUGCUGAUGCAUGUCUGUGUUAGCUGAGUGCUAAAAUUGUUUAUUGUGUGUGGAUCGCUCAUCUUCUAAUCCAGUGUGGGUUUGGAAGACGGGUUGCAGUGUAAAGACUGAACCAUGAGCGAGCAGGAGCUGAGAACUCCUAGUAAGAGGACAAUGUCCUCUGUGACUCGGGAUGAUGCACUGACAACGGUCAGUACCCGAGGUGGUUGUGGCAGAGUGUUGGCUCUGGCCAGCUCCAGUGUAAGAGUACCACCGCAAGUUGGUACUAGUGUAGCAGCGUCGAAUGAUCCUAAGUUCGAUAGGAUCGUUCUGAUGCUAGUGUUCCUUGGAAACUAGAUGAGCCAGCAAGCUCAGGAUCGAGCCGCCGUCAGUGUUGCAACUGUUGUUGUCGCUUCACAUGCUAAGAUCCAGAGUGGAGAUGUAGAUGUGAUCCAGGAGCGAGUCAUUGCAUUCGAGUCAAGGUAUAGAUCCAGUUCAGGCAAAAAUGGAAAUCGGUCAGGGAAAAGACCGAGGUUCAGAGAAAAGCAUUCUAUUCCACUCACGAGGAAGGAUGGAGUAGUCAAGUCGGCACCGAGUCAAAUAGAUCAGGUUGUUUUCGGAUGUGAAGAUGGAGAUCGGCAUUAUGUCCUUCCAAGGACGCGAAUUUGUUUGGAGUAUAGCUAACAGGGAUAUCUGGUCAGGAGUGGUCCUAGUAGAAUGAUGAGGCAACCAGAAAGAGUGCAUACUUUCGCCUAAUAGAAGAUAGAAAAUGCACCGGAUAAGUGUCAGAAUUGUAGAAGGAAGCAUGGAUGAAUCUAGUGUCCGAAUGUGACUAGAACUCGUUGUGAUGAUGACCAGCGUGGCCAUCAGGUGAAGGACUGUCAAUGGAAGUCCAAGGUAGCAUAGGCAUCGCUACUGUGGCCAGGAAGGAAUGUGAGUAGGAUGGACCUUGCACCGAUCAGAGAAAGAAUUUGUUGGAAGUGAUUUUAUCAGAGCAGCGUAGUAGAGUUUUGUGCUGAGUUGGUAGAACUUAAAUUGUUGACGUAAAAGUGAAAGAGAGGGAAUCACUGGCAAUAGUUAUGCUUGACUAGUUGCUGAAGUGUGAAUUUAAUGCCACAUGAAUAGUGUGGGCUUAUGAAGCAUAUUGUGAUAAUGAAUCAUGGUCAUGGAGUAAUCCAAUUUAGUCUAUUAGCAUGUUAAAGUGUCGAGGUUAUUGGGAGUCGAAAAGAAUUUUGAUUUCAUUAAUCUCGUUGGCUAAAGACAAUCCGUUUGUUAGACGGAGGUUGCCAAGAUUGAUUUGACAACUGUUCUGGAUGUGUCAGUUGAGAAAUAGAAUGAGACGAAGGUGGCUGUGAUACAGAAAAUUUCUAAGAGGGUUCGAAAGGAAUUGCUUGGGUUACCGCCAGAAAGAAAGAUUGAAAUUGCAAUUGAGAUAGCACCAGGAUAGAGCCACUCUCGAAGGCUUCUUACCAGCUGUUGUUGUCUAAAGUGGUAGAAUUGAAGAUGCAGAUGUGAAGAUUGAUGAAUGAGGAAUUCGUGUAUAUCGGUGCAUCACUUUUGGGAAACAUCAGUUUUGUUUGUGAGAAGAAGAAAGAUGGUUUAUUGCGAGUGUGCAUCGACUAUCGUUAACUCAAUUAGGUGAAGAUCAAGGACAAGUGUUCUUUGCCAAAGAUCAAUGAAUGGUGUGACUAAUUAUAAAGAGUAUCGAUGUUUUAAAGGUCGACUUGAGAUUAUGAAGUCGUUAGUUAUGAACCAAGAAGGAGGUUGUACGAAAGACAGCUGUUCGUACUUGAUAUGGUCUUUACGAGAAUAUUGUAAGAUCGUUUGGCCUGGUGAACACUCCAGUUGCUGUCAUGGAUUUGACAAACAAAACGUUCAAGGAAUAUGUGGAUGAUCAGUUUGUGAUCGUGUUCAUAGAUGAUAUCUUGGUCUAUUCAAGAAGUGAUGAAGAGCAUGAGAAUCAUCUGAGAUUAAUGCUUCAGACCUUAAGAGCUCAUCAGCUGUAUGCUAAGUUUAGCAAAUGCGAGUUUUGGUUGACUCGAGUUGCGUUCUUAGGUCAUGUGAUUUCCGGAGAAGGAAUCUCCGUCGACCCAAGCAAGAUAGAAGCCGUGAUCAAGUGGCCGAGACCGACAACAGUGACAGAGAUCAGAAGUUUUCUUGGGUUAGUAGGUUAUUACAGACGGUUUGUGGAAGGGUUCUCAUCGAUAGCGUCGCCUCUGACAAAGCUCACGAAGAAAAAUGAGAAGUUCAUAUGGACAGACAAGUGCGAGUGUAGUUUUCAAGAAUUGAAGGAAAAGUUGACUACCGCACCUGUGCUGACGAUUCCAUCUGGUCCUGGAGGAUUCGAGAUCUAUAGUGAUGCGUCAUUCAGGGGAUUAGGUUGCAUGCUGAUGCAACAUGGCAGAGUUGUUGCAUACGCUUCCCGGCAGUUGAGACCUCAUGAAUUGAAUUAUCCGACGCAUGACUUAGAACUCGCAGCCAUCAUAUUUGCGUUGAAGAUUUGGAGGCACUACUUGUGCGGAGAAAAGUUUCAGAUCUUCACAGACCAUCAGAGUCUCAAGUAUUUGUUCUCUUAGAAAGAGUUGAACAUGAGACAGCGUCGAUGGAUGGAAUUGUUGAAAGAUUACGACUGUGAUAUUCUAUAUCACCCGGGAAAGGCGAACGAGGUUGCCGAUGCAUUGAGUCGAAAGUCUUCAAUAGCGCAAAUCUUGGUUAAAGAGUGGAACUUGAUCGAGAGAGCUCGAGAUUCGGAAUUCAAAUUUGAGGUAGGCCACCUUUCAAGUCUUAUGGCCACCCUCAGAAUUGAACUGGAUGUCCAAGUCAGAAUCAAAGAAAUUCAACCGACAGAUCCAGAUGUACAAAGAAUUCUUCAAGAGGAUACCAAUAAAAGAAAUGCUGAUUUUCAAGUUUCUGAUGAUGGGGUACUGAGGCUUCGUGGACGUUUGGUUGUACUUGGCAAUGUAGAGCUUAGAGAAUAAAUUUAAUCUGAAGCACAUCGUAGCAGCUACAACGUUCAUCCUGGAAGCAUUAAGAUGUAUCAGAAUCUACGUCAACACUACUGGUGGUCAGGUAUGAAAGCGGAUGUCGCCAAGCAUAUGGUCAAGUGUUUGACUUAUCAGCAAGUAAAAGCCUAGCAUUGCAAGCCGGGAGGACUUCUGCAACCUCUUGCGAUCCCAGAGUGGAAAUGGGAGCAUAUCACGAUGGAUUCGUGAUUGGACUACCAAGGAGUCAGAGGGGGAAUGAUUCGAUUUGGGUAGUAGUCGACAGGCUGACAAAGUCGGCUCACUUCAUUACAGUUCGAAAGGACCUGAGUCUUGAUAGGCACGCAGACCUAUAUGUGCGUCAAGUGGUUUGUAUGCAUGGAGUGCUGGUUACGAUAACAUCUUAUAGAAACUCGAGGUUUACUGCUGCUUUUUGGAAGAGCUUGCAAAGUGCUUUAGGUACAAAGCUUCAAUACAGUACAGCGUAUCAUCCUCAGACGGAUGGCCAGUCUGAAAGGGCAAUUCAGACUCUUGAAGAUAUGCUGAGAGCAUGUGUAAUAGACUUCAAAGGAAGUUUGGAGGAUCAGUUUCAUCUGGUGGAAUUCGCCUACAACAACAGUUAUCAGCAAAGCAUCAAGAUGGCUCCAUUUGAAGCGUUGUAUGGCAGAGCAUGCAGAACUCUAGUGUGUUGGGAUGAAGUCGGAGAAAGAAAGAUAACAGGCCCAGAGUUGAUUCAGCGAUCAGUAGAUGCCGUGGCAGUGAUCAGAGACAGAUUAAAGACAGCGCAAAGCAGGCAGAAAAGUUAUGCAGAUAAGCGCCGAAGGUCUUUGGAAUUCCAAGUUGGUGAUCACGUUUUUCUAAAAGUGUCACCAAUGAGGCGAACUUCGUUCUUUGGUAAGAAAGGCAAACUGAGUCCGAGGUACGUAGGUCCGUUUGAGAUUCUUGAAAGAAUCGGAAACCUAGCGUAUCGUCUUGCGUUGCCGCCAAGAUUGGCGCAAGUGCAUGACGUCUUUCACGUGUCGAUGUUAAGGAAGUACGAGCCUGACUCGACCCAUGUGCUCAAUUUCGAAGAAUUGGACAUGGAUGACCGUGUGUCAUACAUUGAAAGCCCGGUUCAGAUUGUCGAUCGCAAAGAGCAAGUUUUGCGUACAAAGACCAUCCCGUUGGUCAAAGUGGUCUGGCAACACCACGGCAUUGAAGGAGCGACUUGGGAGACUAAAGAAUCGAUGAGACAGUUGUACCCCCACCUUUUUGAGCAAAGUGAAAUGGUUUAAAUUUCGAGGACGAAAUUUUUAUAAGAGGGGAAGAGUUGUGACAUCCUGAAAUUCGACCCCGUUUCGAUAAAGUGAAAUGGGCAUUUCGUCGGCGUGCCUAUGGCCUUUUUCUCUGAGCUGAUCACUCACGAGUUAACUAACCUAUUAGGUAAAGCCGUUAACGGAUGUAUCAGCUGUAAAAUCCCUAAAAGCUACCUAAUUGGUUGGAUUGAGCUAAAAUCACGUCUGAUCGAUUUUUAACCACGAAAUUGAACUCGAUUUCGGGAAUCGAAUUUUAAGCGCGUCACAAUUCUUAUUUUUAGGAUCCUGUCUCAUCGCUCGUCAAUUUAUUGACGAGUCCGAAAUUUCAAUAAAGAAAUUAUUGGAAGAAAAAUUGAAGCCCAAAAGAAAUUAGAAAGGAAAAGGAAAAGAGAAAAGGAAAAUUGCAUAAAGGCAUUAUGCAUUUUUGUUUUUCAUUUUCUCUCUCUCCCCCUUUUUCUUUCUCUCCCUUUUUCCUCUGCUUUUUCUCUUUUUCUUUCUUUUCUUUCUCUCUCCUCUCCCCUCCCCCUCGUGCGAUUUCCCCCCCACCGCUCACUUUCCCUCUCUCUUCUUUGACCGGUCCAACCUUAUCUCUCUCUCUCUCUCUCUCUCUCUCUCUCUCUCUUUCUUCUUCUUCUUCCUUCCUCCGCACGCUGAAGCAAGCGAAAACCAGAAGCAGAAAAACGGAGACAGCAGCUCGCCGUCGCUGCACCGUCGCCGCCCGUCCCGCCGCCGCACCGCCGCUCGCACGCCCGCGACAGCCGCCCGCCCGUGCGCCCGCCAUCCCGCCGUCCGUCGCUCGCUGUAGCGCUUCCCCCGAGCGAACCCAGCUGCUGUUCGCUCCUGUUCCAGCUUCGUCCAGCCAUCCCCGGCCACCUCCGGCCACCGCCCAGCCUCGCUGGACCACCCCCGCGACCCCCUCGCCCUCCGCCGGCUUCCCCUCGCCGCCCUAGCCGCCAGAGCGGCUCCGUUCAGCCCCGACCAGCAAGACCCACGGAGUGGGUUUCAGCAGCUUCGGGCCCGCUUUUGGGCCGUUUCCGGGCCCCGGAUCCGUGAGUCGCUUUGGGAACAAUCGUUCCUCGCGUCGCCGCCGUCGGAUUGAUCCGAUUUGCGCGCGAUUUGGUGAGUAAUCUCACUAAUCCAGGAUUAGUUGGCUAAUUAUGCUUAAGGUUGGUUUAGAUUUAAUUAAUUAUGUUUAGGUUGUUAGAUUAGAAUUAAUUAGCAAUUAUUAGUCAAUUGUGAUGUGAUUUAGAUAAAUUGAUUGUGCAAUUAGCAAGUAGACGUGGUCUACUAAUUAUUGGAAGUGCCUCGGGAUUUUUCCCGACCCUUAGUGGGCUCCAAUUAGGCUUUUCGGGCCUAAGUGGAUUUUUUUUAGUAUUUAAAUAUUAAUUUUUGGAAUUAAAUUAAAUAAUUAUUUAUUUUCCAAAAAUUCAACGGAGAUGGCCCGGGACCGGAAUAUUGUGCUGAUGACCGUGGUGAAGUCCGUUUAUGUAAUCGGGCUUUAUUUUGAGCUAAAUUGAAUUUUUAAUAAUAAUUAUUUAAUUUUCGAAAUUAAUAAAUAAAUUAAUUAUUUUUCGGAAAUUAAAAUUUUGAUGGCCGACGACCGAAAUCUUGUGCUGAUCGUCGUGGCGCAGCCCGUUUAUUUAUUCGAGCUCCACGUUGUAUGGAAUUGAAUAAAUUGUGAUAUUUUAGGGAUUUACCCUAAAUUGAUUGGAAUCGAUUGAGAUUGAAUUAUCGAUUGGUGAAUGGCCAAGUAUGUUUAUUCAGCAUUUAUAAUGCUUUGUUGAGUUAAUUUAAUUAUUUGAUUGAGAAAUCGUUGGCCAUUGGUUGUUGGUAUUGAAAGUAAAUUGGUAACCACUGCAAAGAGGACACGUGGGCUUGGUGAAUUGGAAUGUCACCUGGAGAAUGCACGUGAGUUCAGUGGUUGAAUAUGUCACCUUGGCGAAAAGGUCGCCUGAGAGAAUGCACGUGGCUCGGAGACUCGGUAUGUCGUCCUGGAGAAUGCACGUGGCUUGGUGACAGGAUUUGGCAUCUAAAAGGACACGUGGCUCCGUGAUCUGAUGCGGCACUUUGGUAAGUGAGUACCUUAGAGAAUGCACGUGGGUCCAGCAUUCCGGAAUGGCAUCUAAAAGGGCACGUGGCUCGGUGAAUUGAUGCAUCACCUUGGUGAGAUAGCGCCUUAGAGAAUGCACGUGGGCCCGGCCAUCGUAAAAAGGACACGUGGCUCGGUGGCUUGAUGUACCACCUUGGCGAAGAGGUCGCCUUAGAGAAUGCACGUGGGUCCGAGGUUUGAGGCACGUGGCUCGGAGACUUGGAAGGUCGUCCUGGAGAAUGCACGUGGCCUAGCUUUUAAAUAUCCCACAGUGGGGAUUGAAUUGUAUGACAUGUAAUCGACUAGUUCGAUUUGUUUGAAGCGAAUGGCCGUUUAUUAUGAAUUGUACUGACUUGCAGGUGGGAUCAGAGGCCAAGGUAAGUCCUCUGCCCUGUGCGUGUUUAGGCAG
rnacentral:lncRNA from 1 species